UGUCAUUCUUGGUCUUCUGGAAGCACCCAUCAGCUUCCUUGACCAGAGGUGCCACGGUCCCGACUCAGUGAGGGCAGAGUGACCAUCUACCACCCGUCAUCACUACGCCGAUGUCAGCUCCCUAAGGAAGCUAGGAUCUGCAUGGGGUGUGGGGACCAGAAUGUGCCACCCCCAAAUGCGCCUUCCUGGGGUAGGACUACUGAGCUGAAGGUCAUUCAGAAGAAGCAGGAGGAGGAACGCUCUGCUCUCACUCCCUCUGCCGAAAGGGGAGCAUAAACGUGCAAAGACAAAAGGCAGUCCCCACGCGCACGUGUCCCAGGCAGAACAGUGACCAAACACAGAAGGGCACAGUGCUAGAAUAAUAGGAAAAUGGUGACUCAUAACCAACUUGUGACUUUCUGUACUGCACACCCUAUACGAGGCUUUCUGCCGAUUGUUCCAAAGCACACAUGACGUCUUGGCCACGUUCUUCUGCAAACACAGGAGACAGUGCGUCACGGCCGCUGGAUACCUGCUGUUGUCCCAGGGGAGACGCGAGACGUGCCUCCCUGAGCACUGAAAGAAGACAGUGCGCACGGCUCGACUCCCCCUCUUGCUCCGCCCCCACCCCCUGCAUCAGCAGCGUGACAAGUGAUUCAUCCGUCAGUGAUUCAGGUUAACCAUCGGACUUUUCAAAAAUUAUUUUUAUUAUGCUUUGUUCAAAAAAAAAAAUCUCACUUCCCACUGCCUGGUGGCCAGAUAGCGCCUUGCCCAGACUGGUUCUCCCCGGCGGCCCGUAGGCCGACAUCAGCCAGGGAAGGGGAAGUGGGCGUGUGGGUACACCGAGGAGCCCUCCCUGCCAGGGGGAGUCUGCUGCCCCCUCCCCGCCCCUCCCCAGCACAGUGUGGGUGGCCAGGCCACCAGCUCAUCCUGGGUUUCUUCCUGGCCUGAAAUCCAGCCCUUGGUGUCAGGUCAGGAAACUGGAGCCCCCAAUCCCCUGUGUCCUCAGUGGCUGGCCCUGCACUUGCACCCCUCCCUGCCCCUGGACGGACACGGGCACCCUGGAAGCUAAGAACGAACAGUGUCAACAGCCUGUGCUGUCCCUCUCCUGUGCUGGCAUCACCAGACUGACUGGGGUGGGGGCUGAUCUGGGUCAGACUCGAGUCCCCCGUGCUUUGUGAUUUGGGUUGUGUACUCCUCGGGGGACAAAGUGAGGAGGGCAGCCCCUCCGCCCCACUUUCCGUGGCCUGAUGGUAAAUGGUGACAACCGGCUCUCUGGAGGCAAGAACCUGGAAACACCCCUCUGCCGCUUUCCACGGCGUCGGCGCCCACACGGGGGCCCAGCCUGCAGCUCUGCACAGGACGGCGCCGCAAGCGGAGCUGGGACGCGGGUAGCACAGGUGAGAGACGAUUGCCUUCGAUAGACACAAUAGCUGCAAAUAACCUCAACAGCAUAGAUAACGCUCAGGUGUGAGGAUGAGGUUUCGUGUUUUUACUUUGGUUUUGUGUAUAGGUUAUAGGUUACUAUCAACUAGUAGAGGCUGUGUUUAAUGCUAAGUUUGCAAACUUCUAGGAACUUCUGUUCUUGUUUCCCUUGAGCCUGUGGGGCUGUAGCGGGGUGCAGCUCAGCCUGUAGCUGCCUGGCUUGUCCCCCUGGCUUCAAGCUAGGCUUCACCUUCCCCUGCCAGCACCCCGCCUGCAGGGUCUCAGAGCUCCCCCAGGCAGGGCCAUGUGGCCGCUGAGCCCUUGGCUGUUCCAUGCAAUGGUGCGAUUUCAGCCCUUGUUCCGUGUGGUGUCCCUGGGGCCUGGCCGUCCCCUCCUUUGGGACGCACUCUGCUCUGCCGCUGUUCUUUGUCACUGUCCCUUCUGCGGGCUCGUGGGCCCCUGCAGGCUCCUUCACCCUUGGAGUUCCCCAGGCCUGGGCCAGCAUUGCCUGGGCCCUUCAUUCUUCUUACUCAGAGAGAGAUGCUUGCCAGAGCCACACCUGUGCCGCAGGUGCGUCCUGUGAAUCCGGUCCUGCAGGUGCAUCUGCCUGCUACGCGUCUUCAUCUGUUCAUCUCCCCAGCAUCCUGUGCCUGCCCGGGGCCAACCCCUCCCAACUUGCUCCCAAUGCAUGGCCCUCGCCCAUCUCUUACAGCAUCAUGCACCCCCUAAAUAUUUGUCGAGUUCCUCCUGUGUGCUGGUCACAGCACCUCGUGCUGACAGUGUGGCACUGAGUCAGCCAUAGCCAAGCCCAUUGUGGAGUUUCUUCAGAGGACAUGAUGUCACCGUAGGCCCGGUGACCGAAGCCAGGAUUGUGGAGUUGCCUUGGACUCCCACCUGACUCACUUCGGCCGACGGCAUUCUCCAUGUGGGGGGAGUAAUGACAUUUCUGCCAUCGGGCUUAUGAUGUUGCCGGCUUCCUGUGUCCCCCAGGGUCUCCCCUUAGCCUUCUGACAGUAUCUGGGCUUGCUGGCAUGGACCAAAGGACACCCAGAAUCCCGACACAUACCAAAAUCCAGACGCUUGAGUCCUUUUAUAAAACGAUGUCUUAUUUACAUCUAACCUACACAAUCUUAGGGAGACUUUACAUCAUCGCCACACUGUUUACCACGCCUAACAGUAUUACAUUGUUACAGUAUUACAUUAUAUUAGUAUAUUCCUAACAGUAUAUACAUUGUUACACAGGGAAUAAUGACAAGAAAUAAAGUCUGUGCAUACUCAGUGCAGAUGCAAUUUUUUCCCUAAUGCUUUCUUUCUUUUUUUUUUUUAAGAUUUAAUUCCAUUUAUUUGAAAGGCAGAGCGACAGAGGGUGAGAAGGAGAGAGAGAGAGAAAGAGAUCUUCCAUCCAGUGGUUCACUCCCCAAGUGGCCUCAACUGCCAGGGCUGGGCCAGGCCAAAGUCAGGGGCCAGCAGUUCUAUCUGGGUCUCCCACAUGAGAUGCCGGGACCCACGCACGUGGGCCACCUUCUGCUGCUUUCCUAAAGCAUCAGCAGGGAGCAGCUGGGACUUAGCUGGGGCUCCAAGACGGGAUGCUGGCCCCAGAAAGUCUCCAGUGAGUGGUCUGGGGGGCGGACCCGAGGGUGUGGGGCCCGUGGACACAGAGGCCGACUGACGGCUGAGGAUUCCAGGUGCUUCACGGUUCGGUUUUCUGGGCGCCCUUCCUCAGUGUGUUCACUGCUAUGUUAAUACUCCAGGUUUUUAUUAGGGAAGCAGCAUGUUAUAAAUAAUGUUACAAAUAUAACAUAUAUAGUAUCACGAUAUAUAAAUAAUAUGUUACAAAUAUCACUUUAUACUCGUGGAGAGGAGGAGUGUGAAAGAUUUAUGGCUAUUCCAAAACACAGUGUGGUGAUGAGCGACAUGAUGUAACACAUGCGUUAUGGCUGAAAUCCAAGGGAAAGACUCCAAAUUGGCUGGCGUGUCUGGAUUUUCCCGAGGGCUUUAGGGUUUGCUGUCUAGCCCCCGCCCCCCCCAACUCCCCGCCCCACAACACAGCAGCGUAACUUCCCUCUGGAAGGGGGGUGCGGAAUACAGGUUCCUUCCUCUUGCCGGCGCCCUCUGCUGGCAGGAACCAGAUCUUUCCCCAUGUGUUGGACUGUGUUGCCCCCUAGGGAUCCGCCUCAGCAUCUCCCUCCCAGGCCCGGUGGCCAAGAAUUCACCUGCGGCCGGUGUCCUGUGUGAGGAGCUGCAGGGGACAACUGCUUCCAGCCCUCAAGUGCACAUUCAAGGAGCAAGACACUGUGAUCAUCUUGGAAAAGCACACACCAGGGCUGACAAUCGGCACUCUGCGCAUGCACCAGGGUGGCGAUGAUCAAAGACAGGGGCUGCAUGUGCAGAGCCUUGCAACCUGCAGGGGCCUGUGACACCCACUUUCUGAUUUAGCUGCUUCAGUCACAGCCCUGAGGAAGUCAAAAUUGGGUUGUGAGACCCAGAGUGACCGUCGUCAGAUGCGACCGUUGGCAGCCGUGUUGGCGGUCGGCUGAUGCUGUCUCGUCUCCAAGGUCAGCCUGAACAGAGUCUGGUUUCAAAGAGAAAAAAAAAUCCCUUGAGUGUGGCUCGUCACUGUUAUCUUUCCAUUGCACCUGGGCAUCGUUCCUCUGCCUCCCCCGAAAUCUCUCGGUGGACGGAGGUGAGCACCGGGAGGCCCCCUCUCCCCCGGGCGGCUUUCUGGUUCUGACUGCCGCCACCGGCGUCCUGGAAAUUACAAAGAGCACUUGCACAUCCCGUGGUAUGCUUCUUCCUGGGAACGCAAAGUCAACACCACUCCGAGGCCAUGGCUGCUUUUCAAGCUGAAGUCGGUGACGUUGUCCCGCUGUCAUCCGAGUGAGCGAAAUCAAACCGUGGGAAAGGUGCUUCUCUUCCUCUCAUCUUUGAGGAAAAA